rnacentral:rRNA from 1 species
UACGUAGGUGGCAAGCGUUGUCCGGAUUUACUGGGCGUAAAGAGCGCGCAGGCGGUCGUUCAAGUCGCGUGUGAAAGCCCCGGGCUCAACUGGGGAGGGUCACGCGAUACUGAUCGACUCGAAGGCAGGAGAGGGAAGUGGAAUUCCCGGUGUAGUGGUGAAAUGCGUAGAUAUCGGGAGGAACACCAGUGGCGAAGGCGACUUCCUGGCCUGUUCUUGACGCUGAGGCGCGAAAGCUAGGGGAGCAAACGGG